rnacentral:lncRNA from 1 species
CAGAAAGCCAAUUAGGAGACAACGAGAAUUCUCGGGGAACAAAGGCUUUAUUUAAUUGGGUGCCGCGCAGCUGAGGAGAUGCAAGAUCAGUCUCAAAUCCAUUUCCCUGAUCUACUAAAACUGGGAGUUUAUGUAGUGGGGGAGGAAUAAAACUAUAUGUGGGUAAACAGGAAUUAGAGAGGGCUAAGGAAGAGGAGUUGGUCAACAGGAAGCAGGUGGUUGGAUAGGCAAUCACGAUGAGUGGGGGGUAUGGUGUCUCAUUGUCCGGAUGCUGUGAUCUGAAAACAACAACAGUAACAACAACAAAAACUCAAGAAACAGGAAUGCAAGCUCUACAUUUUGUUAAACUAAGGACAUUUCUUACUCGUAACAAUCAGAUAUAAAAAAGUGCUGCCACAGGGGCAAGAAUGAUGCUCAGAAGGUCUUUAAUGGCUACAAAUCUUGGAUUAAGCUGACUGAGCAGUUCUUACACCGAGAAGCAAAACAACAACCUUUUGUUUCAAGAAACAGGUGCAUCAUGCUAAUGCCUAUAUGUUUAUUCCUGCUACCUCCAAUAGUUCACUGAUAAUUCAGAUUCAGACCAAUGGAGAAACCAUGGGAGGAAAAAAACAAACUUUUACUCUGAUUUCCCUUGGAAUCCAGUCACCAUGCUGUGAGGAAAUCAAAGCCAAAGGGAAGUUUCACAUGAAGAGCAAUCAAGUCGUUUAGCCCUCAGCCUGAUGACCACCCUACUGACUGCUGCCCGUGUGAGUGAGCCAUCAUAAAAGCAAAUCCAUCAGUUUUCAACUGAGCCUCAGUUGAGGAUGCCUGGGAUAGAAACAAGUCUCUCCCAUAUAGAUCUUUCAAAACUGCAUGUUGGCAAGCCAAAUAAUUAUUGUUGUUUUAUGCUGCUAAGUUUUACAGAUGAUAUGUUUUCUAUUUAGCACUAUAUAAUAAAAGCAGAAAGUGACUUCAUAAUAAUAAAAUAGCAAAUUCAAUAGGAAUAUGCAAUAAAUUGAAUAUUUGAUAAUAAUAUAUCUUCAAAAUAUAUGGAAAAAAU